rnacentral:rRNA from 1 species
AUUGAACGCUGGCGGCAGGCCUAACACAUGCAAGUCGAGCGGAUGAAGGGAGCUUGCUCCUGGAUUCAGCGGCGGACGGGUGAGUAAUGCCUAGGAAUCUGCCUGGUAGUGGGGGAUAACGUCCGGAAACGGGUGCUAAUACCGCAUACGUCCUGAGGGAGAAAGUGGGGGAUCUUCGGACCUCACGCUAUCAGAUGAGCCUAGGUCGGAUUAGCUAGUUGGUGGGGUAAAGGCCUACCAAGGCGACGAUCCGUAACUGGUCUGAGAGGAUGAUCAGUCACACUGGAACUGAGACACGGUCCAGACUCCUACGGGAGGCAGCAGUGGGGAAUAUUGGACAAUGGGCGAAAGCCUGAUCCAGCCAUGCCGCGUGUGUGAAGAAGGUCUUCGGAUUGUAAAGCACUUUAAGUUGGGAGGAAGGGCAGUAAGUUGAUACCUUGCUGUUUUGACGUUACCAACAGAAUAAGCACCGGCUAACUUCGU